rnacentral:lncRNA from 1 species
UUUUCUUUCUUUUCCAGAAAUGAACAGCAGCCCUUCCCCCCCUCAUUUUCUUCAUUUUCAUCUAUGCUAGGGUUUCAAAGAAACCCAUUUCGUUGUCGUCGUCGCCACUGUAUAUGGUGACUGGCGUUCCUAAGCCACUUUUUAGCUGAUUCAGCCUUCCCUAUCCCGUUUUAAAACCCGAAACUCUAAAAAAUAAAAUAAAAAAGAACAAACCACCCCCCCGAUUUCUUCCUCCAAUCUCAAGAAAGGUAUGUUUUAUUCUCUUUUCUUUGAAAAUAUUUCGGUAUUUUUUUGUCUAAGAUAUGUUAUAUCCGAACAUAUAUGUAAAAGAAACGAUGUACCUAUAGAAAAAAAAUAGUAUUUUUGGUUUUUUUCUCUUCUUGCAAUUGAUGUGUAUUUUUAUCACAAAAACCGAACCCCUUUUUACAUUGGUUUCUAUUCGGCUUUAUAGCCGAUUUGUUACACUGCCCAUACUUGCGUGUUCUUUUUGUUUUGCAGGUAGUGGUUGAACGGUGGAGCAGACGUCGGUGAUGGAUGGGACAGAAGCAGUGCAAGUAGAGGCGCCUAGGGUUUGCUGCUUCCUCUCUUUUUUUUU